rnacentral:rRNA from 1 species
UUUCGCAAUGCCCGAAAGGGUGACGAAGCGACGCCGCGUGCGGGAAGAAGGCCUUCGGGUUGUAAACCGCUGUCGGGAGUUAAGAAAUGUAAGGAUGUUAAUAGCAUCUUUGCUUGACUAAGGCUCCGGAGGAAGCCACGGCUAACUCUGUGCCAGCAGCCGCGGUAAUACAGAGGCGGCAAGCGUUGUUCGGAAUUAUUGGGCGUAAAGAGCACGUAGGCGGCUAUGUAAGUCGGUUGUGAAAGCCUUCCGCUCAACGGGAGAACAGCAUCCGAUACUGCAUGGCUUGAGUGCGGGAGGGGAGAGUGGAACUUCUGGUGGAGCGGUGAAAUGCGUAGAUAUCAGAAGGAACGCCGGCGGCGAAAGCGGCUCUCUGGCCCAUAACUGACGCUGAGUGUGCGAAAGCUAUGGGAGCAAACGGGAUUAGAUACCCCGGUAGUCCUAGCCGUAAACGAUGGGCACUAAGUAGAGGGGUUUUA